AGCGAACGCUGGCGGCGUGCUUAACACAUGCAAGUCGAACGCUCGUAGCAAUACGAGAGUGGCGGACGGGUGAGUAACGCGUGGGAAUCUACCUAGCAGCGGGGAAUAACCUCGGGAAACUGAUGCUAAUACCGCAUACGUCCUACGGGAGAAAGCAGGGGAUCACUUGUGACCUUGCGCUAAUAGAUGAGCCUAAGUCGGAUUAGCUAGUUGGUGGGGUAAAGGCCUACCAAGGCGACGAUCUGUAGCGGGUCUGAGAGGAUGAUCCGCCACACUGGGACUGAGACACGGCCCAGACUCCUACGGGAGGCAGCAGUGGGGAAUAUUGGACAAUGGGGGGAACCCUGAUCCAGCCAUGCCGCGUGUGUGAAGAAGGCCUUAUGGUUGUAAAGCACUUUAAGCGAGGAGGAGGCUCUUUUGGUUAAUACCCAAGAUGAGUGGACGUUACUCGCAGAAUAAGCACCGGCUAACUCUGUGCCAGCCGCCGCCGUAA
rnacentral:rRNA from 1 species